UACGAGGGGGGCAAAUGUUGUUCGGAAUCACUGGGCGUAAAGGGAGCGUAGGCGGGUUUCUAAGUCAGGUGUUUAAUCCCGGGGCCCAACCCCGGACAGGCACUUGAAACUGGGAAUCUUGAAUAGUGGAGAGGUCAGUGGAAUUGGGGGUGUAGCGGUGGAAUGCGUAGAGAUCCCCAAGAACACCAGUUGCGUAGGCGGCUGACUGGACACAUAUUGACGCUGAGGCUCGAAAGCAUGGGGAGCAAACAGG
rnacentral:rRNA from 1 species